rnacentral:rRNA from 1 species
GACGAACGCUGGCGGCGCGCCUAACACAUGCAAGUCGAACGAGCGAGAGAGAGCUUGCUUUCUCGAGCGAGUGGCGAACGGGUGAGUAACGCGUGAGGAACCUGCCUCAAAGAGGGGGACAACAGUUGGAAACGACUGCUAAUACCGCAUAAGCCCACGGGUCGGCAUCGACCAGAGGGAAAAGGAGCAAUCCGCUUUGAGAUGGCCUCGCGUCCGAUUAGCUAGUUGGUGAGGUAACGGCCCACCAAGGCGACGAUCGGUAGCCGGACUGAGAGGUUGAACGGCCACAUUGGGACUGAGACACGGCCCAGACUCCUACGGGAGGCAGCAGUGGGGAAUAUUGCACAAUGGGGGAAACCCUGAUGCAGCGACGCCGCGUGGAGGAAGAAGGUCUUCGGAUUGUAAACUCCUGUUGUUGGGGAAGAUAAUGACGGUACCCAACAAGGAAGUGACGGCUAACUACGUGCCAGCAGCCGCGGUAAAACGUAGGUCACAAGCGUUGUCCGGAAUUACUGGGUGUAAAGGGAGCGCAGGCGGGAAGACAAGUUGGAAGUGAAAUCUAUGGGCUCAACCCAUAAACUGCUUUCAAAACUGUUUUUCUUGAGAAGUGCAGAGGUAGGCGGAAUUCCCGGUGUAGCGGUGGAAUGCGUAGAUAUCGGGAGGAACACCAGUGGCGAAGGCGGCCUACUGGGCACCAACUGACGCUGAGGCUCGAAAGUGUGGGUAGCAACC